rnacentral:rRNA from 1 species
GGGUUCAGAACGUCGCGAGACAGUUCGGUCCUCUAUCCUCUGUGGGCGCAGGAAAAUUGAGGGGUUCGGUUCCUAGUACGAGAGGACCGGAAUCGACAUGCCUCUGGUGCACCGGUUGUCCUGUCAAGGGCACGGCCGGGUAGCUAAGCAUGGAAUGGAUAAGCGCUGAAAGCAUCUAAGCGCCAAGCCACUCCCAAGAUGAAUUUUCCCUAAAGGAUCGUCGAAGACUACGACGUCGAUAGGCUUCAGGUGGAAGUGCAGCAAUGCAUGCAGCCAAGAAGUACUAAUCAUCCGUUUGGCUUGAUUCCU